rnacentral:rRNA from 1 species
GUGUGCGACGGGCCGGCGGCCGCGGUAAGAGGUGUGGGGGGGGCGUGGUCCGGAUGUAUUGGGCGGAAAGAGCGUGGAGGCGGCCAGGUAGGUCCGUUGUGAAAACUCGAGGCUCAGCCUCGGGACGUCGGCGGAAACCGUCUGGCUAGAGUCCGGAAGAGGAGAGUGGAAUUCCUGGUGUAGCGGUGAAAUGCGCAGAUAUCAGGAAGAACACCCGUGGCGAAGGCGGCUCUCUGGGACGGUACUGACGCUGAGACGCGAAAGCGUGGGGAGCAAACAGGAUUAGAUACCCGAGUAGUC